UUUCCACUCUUAAACCAUGAGAGUAUAAAUAUGAGUGGACCCCAAAGGAGGAGUUAGUUGAGUUCUAUUUUUAACCAAGGUAUUUCUCAACGUCUUUCUUUCUUUUAUUUCUUUCUUUCUUUUAUUUCUUUUAUUUCUUUUUAUUUUCUACCGAUUCCUAUUAUUCUUGCCAUUUUCCACACCACGAUUAUCCUUGGAUUGGGAUAAUCUCACCUACCUCUAUCGAUCUUCAAGGGAGAACAUAAACCCUAGUUCUAUAAUUUACUGUUCCAUUGGUUUGGAACGCAAGUCUGGACAGAUUUCUCUCAUCCAUUGAAUCUGUCUCCUUCAACUGUUCAAGGCCUACAUCAUCUUGGUAAGGAAUAUUUUGAAAGUCUUCUUCCUGAAAUCAUUCGAAAUUGUUCUCAUCAAAAGGCUCCAGUACUAGAUGGUAAUCUAUCAUUGUUUAAGUACCUACCAAGAUCUUUGGGAGUAAUGUUCUUCCAGAACUAUUUGCAAAUUGCAACUGGUUUUACUUUUUUUUUAAAGCAAUUAAAUUUCAUUAAUAAUAAGGGCAAUGCCCACAUUACAUAGAGUCUAGAAAUAAAAAACAGAAAAAAAUGAGUAAAAAGUCCAUCGACUCUCUCCCAUUAGCUAUGUAGUCUAGUUUGUAGUAAUUAGAUACGCUGCCUCAGGAGGUUGGUUUCAAUCAUAUAUGUCUUCAAAGGGUGACAAUAGUUUUUCUUGUAACACUCCAGAUCAAAGGAGAGACUGAUGUCUUUAAUAACCUCCUUAAGGACUACCUCAGGAGGCCUACUAACGUGUUGUCUGUAUCUUUUAUUUCUUUCUGUCUAUAUAUGCUACGACAAAACCCAAUAGCAUUUCAUAGUAGCCUCCAAGAGUAUUCCAUAUAUUAACUGGUUUUACCUUCUUUUUUGAAAAAUUAAAAUUUUCAUUACUGAAAAAGAGGUCUGACAUAGCCCAAGAUUACAGAUUAUCUUCUUUAUUGGCUAAAAUGUGUUUUCAUACGGUUGAGUCCAUUGUGGGCAUAAUAAGAAUUAGGUCAAGAGACUGGUUCCUAAUAUAUAUAUCUUUCAUCCAUUUUGUUGGGAUGAAUGUCUCCAGACUCCAGAAUAAGGUAGUCCAUUUUAAUGAUGGGGAUUUUCUUAACCCCAAGACCACCCUCACUGCUAGGUAGUACCAUUUCGGGCCAUGGAUUACAUUGAAUGCCUUUAUCACUAUCCCAAAUGAAUUGGUAGGAUAAAUUCUUGACUUUUUACACUAUGGACAUAAGGGGUUCAUUGGACCCAAUUGUAUAUUUGCCUUCAACUAUUAAAUUUACAAAUUAGAUCCUCCACCCAUAUAAUAAGUAUUUCACACUCCAUUUUGCUAGAAGCUUUUCAGACUGAAUGAGUUUCUAGCAUUGGUCGUGAGAUUUCUUUUUGCCAGAUAUGAGGAGACCUAGGUAGAUUUGUUUUACUUGGAAGCCUAGAAUAUUUUGUAACUCUAAGUCGACCUCACACACCUUAGAAAAAGGUGUAGAGCUCUUAGUUUUAUUAAUCUAUAUUCUCUAGACCUGUGAUUCUGUGAAAGUAGAGAAUUCCUCAAGUAUGUUCAGAAUGCACCUAAGUGAUUUUGGGUUUGUUCUGGUGAACAUCAUCAGCAUGCAUAAACUUUGGGUUUGGCAAGUUUUGAGUAAGAAGAAUACAGAGUUGUCUUCUAUCCUAUCUUGUGCUUUUCCUAUAUGCAGAAAUAUAAAAUAACUCCAAUCUUUUUUUUUUUUUUUUGAAGCAAUUAAAUUUCAUUAGAAUAAGGUUAAUGCCAAGUUUACAAAAAUAGAGAAUAGAAAUAAAAAUAGAAGUAAAAAGAAAUGAGCAAAAAGCUCAUUGACUCUCUCCCAUUAGCAAUGUAGUCUAGUUAUACAGUAACUAGAUACGCUGCCUCAGGAGGUUGGUCUCCCAUACUUCCAUCAUAGAUGUCUCCAAAGGGUGACAACAGCUCUUCUUGUAAUACACUGAAUCAAAGGAGAAACUGAUGUCUUUAAUGACCUCCUUAAGGACUACCUCAGGAGGCCUGCUAAUAUGUUGUCUAUAUCUCUUAUUUCUCUCCGUCCAUAUAUGCCACGACAAGCAUCCAAUAGCAUUCCAUAUUAACCCCCAAGGGGAACUCCAAUCUUUACUUGUUCUUGAGAUCCAUGUAUAUAAAGUAUAAAUUAUGGAUGUGUUAUUACCACUGUAGCUUGCCACAAAGGCUUCUUCCAUAAUACUCAAAUUUGGCUUCCCUAAUGCCUUAUUAUUUUGAAAACAAGAUUGUAAAGUAAGAAUAUUCAAAUUAUGUUUCCCUACAUGCUUUCUACUUAACAAAAUGCUUACUCACUCCAAUCUUAUAAUAAAAUUCUAGCAAGAUAUAAAGCUAUGAAAUUUUUUUGGCUAAAGUCUGACAAGAUGGAAUUCUAUACACAAUCAUCCCAGUACAGUACAAGCAAGGUUUAAAAACCGGUUAACCGGUAACCGGUUCUGGCUUACCGGUUUUCCGGUUAGACCGGUUAACCAGUGGUUAACCGGUAGGGGUAUUUUCGUAAUUUUUUUUAAAAAACAGAAAUUAUGUUAUAUACUUAUAUAUCUAUUCCAUGUUUAUAUCCAUGUUUAUAUCCCUGUUUAUAUAAAUAAAAAUAUCAUAAACAAUAUAGUAAUUCAAAAUAGUCAUUCAAAAUAGUAAUGCAAAUAAGUAAUUAAUUCCAUAAUGUAAUUCAAAAUAUCCUAAGCCUAAGAUAUCUAUAAGGAGUAAGAUUUAAACUUAUUAAAAUAAAGCCUNNNNNNNNNNNNNNNNNNNNNNNNNNNNNNNNNNNNNNNNNNNNNNNNNNNNNNNNNNNNNNNNNNNNNNNNNNNNNNNNNNNNNNNNNNNNNNNNNNNNNNNNNNNNNNNNNNNNNNNNNNNNNNNNNNNGACGGGUAACUGGGUCGGGUACGGGUCAGACCCGACCCAUCGACCCAUUUACCCGUCCCAACUAACCGGUCACCGGUUAGCCAUAUUUUACCGGUCAGCCGGUUAACCGCCAGUUUUUAAACCUUGAGUAUAAGUGCAAUGGAAUUGCCCAUCAUUUUCCCCUCCUUUGCCAAAUCCCAAACUCCCAAUAGACCCAACACACACUUACCUUUGCACAUAUCUUUGUCUUCGCAUUCUUCACCCGAAUUUAAAACAAAAUGUUGACGAAUGCUUCCACGAAGUCUACUUCUGAUGUAGGAGAAGAUUUGGAUUAAGGGGAAGAACGAUUGAAGGAGGCAGCAAGAACUUCUUCAAUCGGGGGAUGGGUAGAACUUGGAAUCCACCAAGAAUUCUAAGUUGAGAUCUAGAAUUUAGAAAAGGAAAUAACAAAGCAAAGAAGGAGGGAAAUAACGGUAAUACCUCGAUUUGAUAAUAAUUCAAUAGUUGCCGCCUCCCAUCCUUGGCCUAUUAUAAUUAUACUCACAUCAAUGGAAAUAGGCAACCCAUUUGAUGUGAGUGUAGGGUUGUUUAGGAGGAACGUGGGUUGGCUUGACCAAGGUCAAGCCAACUAGGGCCCACUUGAUUAUUCUCAAUAUCUUCUACUGCAUCAUGCACCCCUUCUACAGGUGCAAUUGUCCUCAAUUGCUCUUUAGAUUCUGCUUCAGGGAAAUAUUUCCUUAUGUCACAGACAUUGCAAGAAUUUUCUGAUUCAGCCGGGCUCAUUUCUGAUUCAACACUUAAUAGUUUUUUAAAUUCUUUUUGGGCAGAAAACAGCAAAUUAGACUUUUCAGAUGUGUUUCCUUCAGGUGGAAGUGGAAGCAAUGCUACUUUCAGAUCAUCUACUUUAACUACAUACUAAAUGGUUCUGCCAUUGUAGUGUGCACUCACAUCAUACUGCCAUGGUCUUCAUAAUAGUACAUGGGCUACAUCCAUGUUAACCACAUCACAUACAAUUUCAUCAUUGUACCUUCUACCGAUGGACAAAGGUACUUUGCAACUUUUAUCCACAGCUACUGAAUUCCCACUGAGAAUCCACCAUACACUGUAAGGGUUUUUGUGUUCCUCCACCUCUAAACCUAAUUUCUUCACUGCUUUCCACGAAAUCAGAUUAUCAGUUGAUCCGUUAUCUAUUAUAAUAUCACAGACCCUUCCUUUAAUUGUGCCUCUAGUCCUGAAUAAAUUAUUCCUCUGACUUUGCAGCUCUUGUUGAGGUGUGUGCAUAGUUCAAAAAGCGGAAAAGCGGUCAGCUUUUCCAUUGACCGCUUUUUCAGCUUUGAGCGCUUUAGCGCGCUUAAAGCUGAAAAAGCGGUAGUGGCAUUAUUGUAAAUAAUUGUAAUUUUUUUAAAAAUAUAUAUAAACCUGUAAUUAUUCAAGACAUCAUCCAAAUUAUUUGAAAAACAUUUACAAGUCAUAUAACCUAAUCAUCUAGACGUGCACCAAUAUCUAUAUUAUCUCUUAAAAUUUCUUCCAUUUCAUUCAUGCAAUGAUGAAAUUGGGAUUCAAUUCCCAUAUCUCUAGGGUUUUGGAAAAAAUAAAAGUGAGAGUGAUAAAGGAAAUUAGGGUUUUAUUAGAAGGGUAUUGGGUUUAUAUAGUUAGAUAGAAAUUGGAGGGGUAGGAAGGGAAAUUAAAAUAGUUUAAGUUAUUUCACAUGGGUAAUGGGUUGUCCCAACCCAAUAACCCAACCCGACCAGAAAAAGCGUUUUAGAAAGCGGUCCUGGAGGACCGCUUUUCCGCUUUUUGAACUAUGGGUGUGUGGCAUAUUCUGUGGAUGAUACAUGACAAUCUCUGUCCUUCAUUUAGAGGUGCUUCAUCAUCAUACUCAUCAACUGAACUAUCUUCCUCCAUGGGUGCUUUUCUUGUCAUCGACUACAUGUACACUUCUUCUCUUUGGACAAGUGUUAGAUUUAUGACCCCAUUCACCACAUCUGUAACACUUAAUAUUAGUGUUUCUUUGAUCAUAGCCUCUAUUAAUUCUAACAUCUUGUUGACUUUCAGGAUUAAUUUUUCUCUCUUCAGGUGUUGGCAGUAUACCCUUCUCAUUGGGUGGGUUGAAUCUAAUGUUGGAUAGGUCUCCAACAUUUUUUAUAAAUUUUUCAGCCCUUCUGUCCAACUGAUCAGCCACUCUUAUUGUAUCCAUUAACGAGUAUUGUGGUUGCAUGAUUAAUUUUUCUUGAUGUUUGCUCUUGAGCCCUUGGACAAACCUUGCUAUUAACUGCUCCUCUGUUUCAUUCAGAUUAUUUCUCGAAGACAACCUAUGGAAUUCUUUAGAAUAUUCAGCCACACUUCUAUUCCCUUGACAGCAUUGAUGAUAUUGAGUGAAUAGAACGCCCUCGUAAUCACUAGGCAAAAAUCUCUGUUUUAGCAAUUUCUUCAAUUUCUGCCAAGUUCGAACUGGUCUCUGGUUGGUCCUUCUUCUAUUUGUAACUGUUUGAUCCCACCAGGCAGACGCUAGGCCCUUAAAUCUCAAGACCACCAGUUUCACUUGUUGGUCCUCAUCAAUGUCCAUGUAGUCAAAAAAUCUUUCUACCUCUAUGAUCCAUUCCAAAAAUUCUUCAAUGUGUGUUGUCCCAUUGAAAGAAGGUAGAUCCAUCUUUAAUUUACAUUGCCACUGGCCUCUAUUAAAACUUUCAGGAGCUUCAUCCCAAUAAUUAUUUUCGCCUAUUUGCUCCCUCCUCAUCCUUUGGUAGUGAGGUCGCCUUUGAGACGUUUGUUGUGAAGGCAUGUUUAACCCUUCAUAUUCAUCUUCAUAAAGUUCAGCAAAUCGAUCAUUGUAGUUUUGUCGCUCUCUUUGAAAAUUCUGAUUUGGUAGGGUCACUGACCGGCGUUGAAAUGGUUGCUCCGGAGGGUCAUCUCUAAGUGCUCUGUUCCGACGCUGAUAGAUAUGUAAUGGUUCUUCGGGUGGGCGACGUGGGUAGGCUCCCCCGGGCUGUAUUAUUCCCUGUCCAAACAUGUCAAAUUCUUUUCCGACGAUUGGCGGCCGGAAUUCGACGUUCACCGUUGGUUCAGUGGGUUGGAUAGUCCUUCUCAGUUCUAAAAAUCCAUCACGCAUCGCAGUUGUUAAGUCGGCGAUGGCUUUGUUCGUAGAUUCCCAUUCUUCUCUUGUAAUGCUCUCAUUUGCCAUUUUUUUUUACUAUUUCAGUAACACACUAUAAAUCAAAGUCCUGAUUAAAAGGUACCACAAUUACUGAAUUCAGAUGGCCAAAAAUCACAACGUAAGUCACUCUGAUUUUUCCGAAAAAAUUUGCACAACUUUCCACAGCAACUAGAUUCACUGAUGGUUGCAGACAGAUCGCAAGAUCGUAGACUCAAUUCACUCUCGCAAAAGAAAACCUCUGGAAUCAACGAUGACAAUAUCUGUAGAGAACAGAACAGACAGAAGACGCAGAGAACGGAACUACCUGAUGUACAAUAUUCUCGCAGAUGACAAUAUUCUCGACCAGAUGACAAUAUUCUCGGAAAACACGAGGCAGAACAGAACCACAAAAAACGGACGAGGCAGAGCACAAGGCUGAAAUCGGCAGGAAAAAAAAGACCACGACGGACAACAGGAACAGGAAUAGACCACAACGGAAAAAAUUGGCAGAAAAAAAAUUGACGCUGACGGACAGAAAUUCCAAAUGGAAGAAAAAAAUUGAUGCAGACAGACGGAAGAUAGAAGUCACUAGGCGGAAGUCACUUGGUCGACGCAGACGCAGACAGACGGAACCACAAGAAACGAUCAUGAUUUGAUGCAGACGGAUGCCUCCCCACGACGGGAAAAAAAUUUCCAGAAAAAAAAAGAGAACAAUCGAAGAAUUGAUCCGGAAGACAGGAACAAGAAUGAAGAAAUCACCAGGAGAUGAUGAUUGAUCGGCAAGAAGACGGAUCCGGCAGACGAUCGGCAGAAACACGAUUAUUUUUUUUGUCGUAAUUUUUUUUUAAAUGAUCCAGAAACCUCUUUGAAGACAAUCAACAACAAUGUCUCUGAUGCCACCUGAUAUAGGAGAAGAUCUGAAUUAAGGGGAAAAACGAUUGAAGGAGGUAGCAAGAACUUCUUCAAUCGGGGGAUGGGUAGAACUUGGAAUCCACCAAGAAUUCUAGGUUGAGAUCUAAAAUUUAGAAAAGGAAAUAAUAAAGCAAAGGAGAGAAAUAACGGUAAUACCUCGAUUUGAUAAUAAUUCAAUAGUUGCCAGUUGCUACCUCCCAUCCUUGGCCUAUUAUAUUUAUACUCACAUCAAUGGAAAUAGGCAACCCAUUUGAUGCGAGUGUAGGGCUGUUUAGGAGGAACGUGGGUUGGCUUGACCAAGGUCAAGCCAACUAGGGCCCACGUGAUUAUUCUCAAUAUCUUCUACUGCAUCAACUUCACUCUUUGUAUUUGUGUCAGGCUUAUUCUCUUGAAUCAUGAUUUCCAUUGAUGGUCGUGGUUAUGUCCUCCUCAUACUUUCAGUCUUCCAUGUGAUCCUCAUCCUCACUUGGGAGUGUAACCCAAUUAUUAUAACACACUAACGGAAUUAUUUUUGCAGGAUGUUGGGUAUGGCUCUCUGAGUAUGUGAAAGAGGAGAUGGUAAAUUUAAGAAAACUUUUUGGAAAAAGUGAUCUGAAUGAACUCUUCACAAUCAAAGAAUUAAUUCCGUCUUUCAAGUGGAAUCCACCAAGGAAAGACCUCAUAUCAGAUCAUCAAAUCACGAGUGGAAUCACUUAGGUCGAGAUAUAGGAGGAAGCCGGAGCAACUGAACACCCAAGAUCAUCAACUAGGAGUGGUCAAAGCAUGACAGUUUAACAUUAAAAAAAAACUCAAGCUCAAGUUCCUGAACCUGAAGAUCAUGAAACUCAAUCUAUACCCAGCAAAAGAGAAAACACAAUGCUCCCUAGUUUGAUGACCUUUGAGCUAUUUUGUAAUUGUAUUUUGCAUCAACUAUAUUCUAAAUAUUUUAUAUGAACUAUUUCUGACU
rnacentral:lncRNA from 1 species